rnacentral:rRNA from 1 species
UACGUAGGUCCCGAGCGUUGUCCGGAUUUAUUGGGUUUAAAGGGUGCGUAGGCGGAUUGAUAAGUUAGAGGUGAAAUGUCCGAGCUCAACUCGGGAACUGCCUCUAAUACUGUUGAUCUAGAGAGUAGAUGCGGUAGGCGGAAUGUAUGGUGUAGCGGUGAAAUGCUUAGAGAUCGUACAGAACACCGAUUGCGAAGGCAGCUUACCAAUCUAUAUCUGACGUUGAGGCACGAAAGCGUGGGGAGCAAACAGG